UACGUAGGGCGCGAGCGUUGUCCGGAAUUAUUGGGCGUAAAGAGCUCGUAGGCGGCCUGUCGCGUCAAUUGUGAAAGCCCGGGGCUUAACCCCGGGUCUGCAGUCGAUACGGGCAGGCUAGAGUUCGGUAGGGGAGAUCGGAAUUCCUGGUGUAGCGGUGAAAUGCGCAGAUAUCAGGAGGAACACCGGUGGCGAAGGCGGAUCUCUGGGCCGAUACUGACGCUGAGGAGCGAAAGCGUGGGGAGCGAACAGG
rnacentral:rRNA from 1 species